rnacentral:tRNA from 1 species
GCGACUUUCGUAUAAUGGUUAAUACAAGACCUUGCCAAGGUUUAGAUGCGAGUUCGAUUCUCACAAGUCGCUCCA